GAUAAACGCUGGCGGCGCACAUAAGACAUGCAAGUCGAACGAACUUAAUACCUUGCUUGCAAGGUAAGCGGUUAGUGGCGGACUGGUGAGUAACACGUAAGAAAUCUGCCUAUCAGAGGGGAAUAACAGUGAGAAAUCACUGCUAAUACCGCAUAUGCCAUAGUCAUCGCAUGAUGAUAGUGGGAAAGAAGCAAUUCGCUGAUAGAUGAGCUUGCGGCUGAUUAGCUAGUUGGUGGGGUAACGGCCUACCAAGGCGACGAUCAGUAGCCGGACUGAGAGGUUGAACGGCCACAUUGGGACUGAGAUACGGCCCAG
rnacentral:rRNA from 1 species